rnacentral:misc_RNA from 1 species
UUUCCGUAGGUGAACCUGCGGAAGGAUCAUUAAAAAAUGUGGUACCAAUUAUUGGUACUAAUUAAUCAUCCUACCCUUUGUGAAUUUGUUUGUAACGAAUUUUUUUUAAAUGGGUCUUUCCCUAAGUUGGAUUGUAGUAAAAUACAAAAAGACUUAGGGGAAUGACUUUUUUAAAAAGACUUUUUUUUUAAAUUAAAACUUUUUGUAUUCAUUUGUCUAAAAUUUAUUUUUAUAAUAUAAAAACAACUUUUGACGAUGGAUCUCUUGGUUCUCGCAACGAUGAAGAACGCAGCAAAAUGCGAUAAGUAGUGUGAAUUGCAGAAUACGUGAAUCAUCGAAUCUUCGAACGCAUAUUGCACUUUUUUAGUUUACUAAAAAAGUAUGUCUGUUUGAGUAUCAGUAAAAUAUUCUCACAAACAUAUAUUGUUUGUGGUAAUGAGUGUUUUACAACGAUAAACAAGUUGUUUCACUUUAAAUUCUUUUUAUUGAAGUUUUUACUACCAAUUCAUAAAUUAAAAUUGGAUAAAAUUUUCCUUUAACGAGGAAUAACCUAAACAAUUUUAAAUUUUAUGGAUUAUAAACAUUCAUAAAGGAAUCUAUAUACAUAAAUAACUUGAUCUCAAAUCAGAUAAGAGUACCCGCUGAACUUAAGCAUAUCAAUAAGCGAGGAAAAGAAACUAACAAGGAUUCCCUUAGUAACGGCGAGUGAAGCGGGAAGAGCUCAAAUUUGAAAUCUUCAAGGUUUGACCUUGACGAAUUGUAGUUUAUAGAAGUGUUUUCUGUUGGAGUUUUGGUAAAAGUUCUUUGGAAUAGGACAUCAUAGAGGGUGAGAAUCCCGUAUUUGACCAUGACUUUCCAGCUGUGUGAUACACUUUCAAAGAGUCGGAUUGUUUGGGAAUGCAGUCCAAAAUGAGUGGUAAAUUUCAUCUAAAGCUAAAUAUUGGCGAGAGACCGAUAGCGAACAAGUACCGUGAGGGAAAGAUGAAAAGAACUUUGAAAAGAGAGUUAAACAGUACGUGAAAUUGUCAAAAGGGAAGCGUUUGACACCAGCGUUGUUUUCUCGAAAAUCAAUUUAAUGAGUUCUUGCUUUUAAGUUAUUGUGACUUUAUCAGCGCAUUUCUUAUUUUACUUGACUCAUUGAAUGCACUUUUCGUUUAACAAGUCAACAUCAAUUUCUUUGGUGGUAAAAAGUUUAAAGGAAGGUGGCUUGGACUUCGGUUCAAGUGUUUAUAGCCUUUUUUCUAUGCCAUCGGAGAGAUUGAGGUCUGCAGCGUAGAUCCUUCGGGGUUAGAUACCUUUGUGCUAAGUUAUAGUUUUUUAUAGACAACUUGUUGACUAUAAUUAACCCUGUAAUUUACUCGCUUAGGCUAUUUUACCUACGCUUAGGAUGUUG